rnacentral:rRNA from 1 species
GUUGAACGCUGACGGCAGGCCUAACACAUGCACGUCGAACGAGUGGCGGACGGGUGAGUAAUGUCUGGGAAACUGCCCGAUGGAGGGGGAUAACUACUGGAAACGGUAGCUAAUACCGCAUACCAUCGGAUGUGCCCAGAUGGGAUUAGAUAGUAGGUGGGGUAAUGGUUCACCUAGGCGACGAUCCCUAGCUGGUCGGAGAGGAUGACCAUCCACACUGGAACUGAGCAACGGUCCAGACGCCUACGGGAGGCAGCAGUGGGUAAUAUGGCACAAGGGGCGCAAGCCUGAUGCAGCCAUGCCGCGUGUAUGAAGAAGGCCUUCGGGUUGUAAAGUACUUUCAGCGAGGAGGCGUUACUCGCAGAAGAAGCACCGGCUAACUCCGUGCCAGCAGCCGCGGUAAUAC